rnacentral:lncRNA from 1 species
CGCGCGUCGUUUAUGUUAAUUAGGUGCGAUCGACCGUAAUGUUUUUAUGAUCCACGGUUCGACCAAGCUUAUGUAUGACAAGAUGCAAGACAACACGGAAUGCAACAGGGCAAACAUUCUAGUUGCUAUUGCGACCAUAUAUAAACUUGAUCUACCGGCAGAGUGUUUUCACGGCGGUUAUGUUUGGGAACAAGUUAAAGUGCCGAAAUAUAUACAAGGAAACAAGAAAACCAUUAUUUUGAAAACUUGUCCGUCAACAAAGCAACACAUGAAAACACCGUAUUUUUCCUGGCGGUCUUUUCAACUUAAAAUUUAUAGUACAAUUUAUAAAGCGCGCGCGCAAUGCAUUAGUAACCUAAAGAAACGAGCCUAUUCUCCACCUUGGAGCGAGAACUACGUUUCUUAUCGUUAAGCCCCUAAUCCAAGAUAUUUUAGGCAGAAAAUGGUUUCUUUUUUGUUGUUUUUUUCUGCAACGAGUAUUCUUGGACUAUUGUUGCUUAUAUUCAAAGUGGCUUCGCGGGUUUUCUUUUUUAUUUCUCUCUUUUUUUCGCAAUAUUUCUUUUUUUUUCCACUUUGAAUUGGUUCUAAAAGUAUUUUUCAGCAGAAAAACAGAUUCCAUUUUCCUGUUGUGUUAAUAUAUAAAUACUUUACAGAAAGUCACUGGCGCAAAAGCAUGACGAUAAUCAAUUAUAGUCUUAUAGUAUGCAUGCAGAAAUAAGCAAAAGCCCCCUAUUUCUAGCUGCCUAACCUUCAUAACUAGUGCGCACGCGCAUACAACCUUUCAAAAACCUGCAAGGGAAUACCCCCGAAUGUGGAGUCUCGGUCAUGCCCUUAGCUUAAC